AUGUGCCACGCGUGGACUCAGGUUCUGAGCGCGCCGUCCACACGUCCCGAGCGAUUGCUCGCUACGUUUUGUCAGUC
rnacentral:sRNA from 2 species